AUGAAGACCCAACAGCACGAAGCUCGCCGCACAACCCGGCAUAGUGGCCAGGUAGUUACCUCUGCCAGUUUAUCAAAUAGUCCGGUUCGGAAACGCCAUUCAGAGGUCUCUAAUUUGCCUGUCAGUGCUUGUCCUAAAAUGGGCUGUCUUCGUCAACCUCUUAGUCCGUCUGACUCUGAUUAUCAGGUCACUUCCCAUUCAUCAUCUGGCGAGUCAUCAGCUACCCAGCUGCCGCCGCUCAAAACAGUGCUUGGGGUCAAGCCUAAGCCAAGCAAGAAGGCUCGCCUAGAUAAAGCGGCUGAAGAAGAUGCUAUUCCUGAACCGGACAGAGUACUCAACCCUAAAGCGGCCAUCCGUGAGGAUGUGCCAAACGAUCCACCACCACAAGAUGAUGAUCUUAUUACUGAGGAGAGGCCUGUUGAUACCUCCGGUCCUGUUGACUAG
rnacentral:rRNA from 1 species